rnacentral:miRNA from 1 species
GUCGUCGAUCUUCGACGUCAUAAAUACGAUCAACGUUGGUUUUGAUGACGUCGAUAUUCGACGUCAUAUACACGAUCAGCUUAGACGCUUAUGACGUCGAUACUUGACGUAAUAAACACGAUCAAAUUUGGUGUAUAUGAAGUCGAUAUUCGACAUCACAAACACGAUCAACUUUGGUGUGAUGACGUCGAUAUUCGACAUCAUAAAAACGAUUAACUUUAGUUUUAAUGACGUCGAUUUUCGACGUCACAAACACGAUCAACUUUGGUGUGUAUGACGUCGAUAUUCGACGUC